rfam:TPA: Bos taurus chromosome 18, whole genome shotgun sequence.
UCCCUGGUGGUCCAGUGGCUAAGACUCUGCGAUUCCAACGCAGGAGGCCCAGGUUUGAUCUCUGGCCAGGGAA